CUGAUACCUUGUUCGUCUUUUUUCAAAAGCCACACGAUCCAGUGAAAAACGAGACAAUAAGUCGCUGGAUAAAAGAAGUGUUAAUAUCUUUUGGAGUAGACAAGAAGUUUACGGCUCACUCUACGAGGGAUACGUCAACGUCCAGGCCGCAUGAGAGAGGUGUGAGCCUGGAGGAGAUUAAGAAGGUUGCUGGUUGGUCCUACAGAUCCCAAACAUUUGCAAUAUUUUACCUAUAGAGACAAAUAACUUCGCGUCGUUUAUCUUCUAGAUAACUAGAUAAUAUAUGAUACUCUCUCAACAAUUAAAACUUAUUUUUUCUGUUUCACUUGUCAUUAAUAUAGUUAAGAAACAUUUAAAAAGCAAAAAGAAAGAAAAAAGAGAUUUUUGUUUAAAAUGUUAGGUCUAAAAAGCUACUCUAAAUCUCGAAGUACGAGAUAUAAAAGAUAAUUGCGAUCAAACUUCAACCACCUUCGACGGGCUCGUUCAAUUAUCCUUCAAUUAUCCUUCGUGUCUCGCACGAGAGAUAUUCCCUCCCUACUAUCAUCCUAAAGUACCUAGUCUGACAGGUGAAACAUAAAAAUAAGUCGGCUAUAAACAAAAUAAGUAUUAACUGCGAGGAGGCACUACAGGUGCCGCGUGGUAAUCAAUUAUUUUCAAGCUUUGAACUUGUGGUCUGAAACAUGAAAGUAGUGAUACUAUCUUUGUAAUCUCUCGUGUUCGAGAUACUCGAAUAAUUGCGUUCAAACUUGGUUCGCCUUCGGCGAGCUCGUUUGAUCCUUCAAUUUUUUCUUCUUUUGUUAUUAUGAAUUACUGUCAUUAUAUGUGUCAUGAUGUACACAAUAUAUUGUUUCUUCUUUUUAUUACUAUUUUUAUUACUAUACUAUUACAUUACAUAUUAUUAUUAUAGUAAUAGUAGUAAUAAUAGUAAUAAGAUGAAAUGAACUUCUACAGAGGAAACCAUAACAAAACAGCGCUGAGAGAAAAAUCUCAUAGAUAAUAUGGACACGAACUCGUGUUUUAAUAUUUAUUAAAAAUAAUGUAUAAUAUAUAUGUUCACUAAUUAUUAAUUUUGAAAGAAUAAUCGACAAAUGUAUCGAACAAAAUUAUACUGCUACUAAAAACUAAAAUUAUAUAUCUUAUCUAGCAUAGAUCACCGCGACAUUCACGUCAGCCAUCAGUGGAGAAAAUAAAUAUAAAAGAUUGAAUAGUAAUAUUAACACAUUCCGUACGGGUCACGAGAUUUUCAUGUUUUUUUCGACUAAAACGAUGACUUAAGCAACCAGAGAUAAAUGUUUUUGUUACGUUACCAGGGUAAUGAAGCCUUGCGCGUUCUUAUGACAAAUGAUUAACGAAAUAACUGAAUGUUGAUAUUCCGAAAAUCCAAAAAUAGUCAAUAUAGCCAGUACAUCAUUAGAUUUGUGCCGAUCGUCGUACGUACCGUACCUUAUAAAGUGUUUUAUUAUUGUACAUUUUGGGAUUUUAAAGUUCGUGUUUUAAUUUGAAAGGAAAUAGCUUUUUAAAAAUCGUUUAUAUUUUUAAUUUGUUAGUGAAAAUUUAUAACAAACAGAAAUGUGAUAUUUCAUUACAAAUUUGGAAAGAUAAAAAAGAAGUACAAAUGAUUUCGACAAUUCAUAAAUUUGAAAUGGUUGAAUGUACUGGAUAUAAAACCAUGCAAAAACCGAAAUGCAUUGCAGACUAAAUAUGAACGGUGUCGACCUUGCUGUUCAGUAUCUAUCAUAUUACACAAUAUUGAGAAAAACAAUUAAAUGGCCAAAAAAGACGACAGAAGAAAAAUCCACAGAUACAGUUAUGAAUAUAGGACAAAGUAUUUUAAAUAAAACAAAUCAUUUACGCGUCAACGAUACAGACUCUCUGAUAAUAUGAAACAUCAUAUACUUGAACCAAUGACGAGUAAAGGCAAGAAGAAGUUCCCAACCAAACAAUGUAAAGUCUAUUCGUCCAAUGGAAAAAGGAGUGAAACAACUGUUGCAAAUUGUGUCGAACACCAUUGCACAAUGGAGUAUGGUUUACUAGAUAUCACACUCUAAAGGAUUAUUCAAGUAGUAAAAUAAAUAAUAGUUAAAAUGUAAAAAGUUUUUUAUAAUAAAUAAAAGUAUAAAAUAUAUGUAGUUAUAAUUAAGAAUAAUUUAUUUAAAUAUAAUACCAAAUGUAAAUUAAAAAUGUGCAUAUACACAUCAUAUUGCUUGCCAAGCAUGCUUCUGAAGCGUUCAAAAAUGUGCGGCCUUGGGAGCGCAUUGAGUGCGCAGAGCGCCGUAUGCAAUGUGUUAAAUAAAGAGAAAAAGAGUAAA